UACGUAGGGAGCAAGCGUUGUCCGGAAUCAUUGGGCGUAAAGCGCGCGUAGGCGGCCCGGUAAGUCCGCUCUGAAAGUCCAGGGCUCAACCCUGGAAUGCGGGUGGAUACUGCCGGGCUAGAGUCCGGAAGAGGCGAGUGGAAUUCCUGGUGUAGCGGUGGAAUGCGCAGAUAUCAGGAGGAACACCAAUAGCGAAGGCAGCUCGCUGGGACGGUACUGACGCUAAGGCGCGAAAGCUAGGGGAGCAAACAGG
rnacentral:rRNA from 1 species